rnacentral:piRNA from 1 species
UUAAACGUUUUAGGAGGUUCUACAUGAGGCA